rnacentral:tRNA from 1 species
AUCUUUCUAGUAUUUAAGGGAAGUAUAAGUGAAUUCCAAUCACUUGGUCUUGGUUAAACUCCAGGGAAAGAUA